CAGGCCUAACACAUGCAAGUCGAGCGAGAAAGGGGAAGCCCCGGUAAAGCGGCGCACGGGUGAGUAACACGUAGGUAAUUUACCCCCAGGUGGUGGAUAACCUUCCGAAAGGAGGGCUAAUACAGCAUAAGACCACGUCUUCGCAAGGAGAUGAGGUCAAAGCCGGCCUCUUCACGAAAGCUGGCGCCAGGGGAUGAGCCUGCGGCCCAUCACGGUAGUUGGUAGGGUAAUGGCCUACCAAGCCUAAGACGGGUAGCUGGUCUGAGAGGAUGAUCAGCCACACUGGGACUGAGACACGGCCCAGACUCCUACGGGAGGCAGCAGUGGGGAAUAUUGGACAAUGGGCGAAAGCCUGAUCCAGCAAUGCCGCGUGAGUGAUGAAGGCCUUAGGGUUGUAAAGCUCUUUUACCCGGGAUGAUAAUGACAGUACCGGGAGAAUAAGCUCCGGCUAACUCCGUGCCAGCAGCCGCGGUAAU
rnacentral:rRNA from 1 species